rnacentral:rRNA from 1 species
UUUAUCCGACGGGGUGACACAGAAGGAUAGGGAAUCGCACGAAUGGAAAUGUGCGUCCAAGCAGUGAGUGUGAGAAGUAGGCAAAUCCGCUUCUCGCGAAGCAUGAGCUGUGAUGGGGAAGGAAAUUAAGUACGGAAGUUCCUGAUUUCACGCUGUCAAGAAAAGCCUCUAGGAAGAGUAGUACUGCCCGUACCGCAAACCGACACAGGUAGAUGAGGAGAGAAUCCUAAGGUGAGCGAGAGAACUCUCGUUAAGGAACUCGGCAAAAUGACCCCGUAACUUCGGGAGAAGGGGUGCUCUAUUAGGGUGCAAGCCCGAGAGAGCCGCAGUGAAUAGGCCCAGGCGACUGUUUAGCAAAAACACAGGUCUCUGCAAAACCGUAAGGUGACGUAUAGGGGCUGACGCCUGCCCGGUGCUGGAAGGUUAAGAGGAGUGCUUAGCUUCGGCGAAGGUACGAAUUGAAGCCCCAGUAAACGGCGGCCGUAACUAUAACGGUCCUAAGGUAGCGAAAUUCCUUGUCGGGUAAGUUCCGACCCGCACGAAAGGCGCAACGAUCUGGGCACUGUCUCAACGAGAGACUCGGUGAAAUUAUAGUACCUGUGAAGAUGCAGGUUACCCGCGACAGGACGGAAAGACCCCGUGGAGCUUUACUGCAACCUGAUAUGGAAUGUUUGUACCGCUUGUACAGGAUAGGUAGGAGCCGAAGAGACGUGUGCGCUAGCAUACGAGGAGGCAAUGGUGGGAUACUACCCUGGCUGUAUGACCAUUCUAACCCGCCACGCUUAGCGCGUGGGGAGACAGUGUCAGGUGGGCAGUUUGACUGGGGCGGUCGCCUCCUAAAGAGUAACGGAGGCGCCCAAAGGUUCCCUCAGAAUGGAUGGAAAUCAUUCGCAGAGUGUAAAGGCACAAGGGAGCUUGACUGCGAGACUGACAAGUCGAGCAGGGACGAAAGUCGGGCUUAGUGAUCCGGUGGUUCCG